rnacentral:rRNA from 1 species
AGAGUUUGAUCCUGGCUCAGAACGAACGCUGGCGGCAUGCCUAACACAUGCAAGUCGAACGAAACCAAGGCUUCGGCCUGAAGUUUAGUGGCGCACGGAUGCGUAACGCGUGGGAAUCUGCCCUUGGGUUCGGAAUAACUCAGAGAAAUUUGAGCUAAUACCGGAUGAUGACGUAAGUCCAAAGAUUUAUCGCCCAAGGAUGAGCCCGCGUAAGAUUAGCUUGUUGGUGAGGUAAAGGCUCACCAAGGCGACGAUCUUUAGCUGGUCUGAGAGGAUGAUCAGCCACACUGGGACUGAGACACGGCCCAGACUCCUACGGGAGGCAGCAGUGGGGAAUAUUGGACAAUGGGCGAAAGCCUGAUCCAGCAAUGCCGCGUGAGUGAUGAAGGCCUUAGGGUUGUAAAGCUCUUUUACCAGGGAUGAUAAUGACAGUACCUGGAGAAUAAGCUCCGGCUAACUCCGUG